UACGGGGGGAGCAAGCGUUGUUCGGAUUUACUGGGCGUAAAGGGCGCGUAGGCGGCCACCGCAAGUCGACUGUGAAAUCUCCGGGCUUAACUCGGAAAGGUCAGCCGAUACUGCGGGGCUAGAGUGCAGAAGGGGCAACUGGAAUUCUCGGUGUAGCGGUGAAAUGCGUAGAUAUAGGAAGGAACACCAGUGGCGAAGGCGACUACCUGGACUGAUACUGACACUGAGGUGCGAAAGCGUGGGGAGCAAACAGG
rnacentral:rRNA from 1 species